rnacentral:rRNA from 1 species
CGGACGGGUGAGUAACACGUAGGUAACCUACCCAACAGCGGGGGAUAACACUUGGAAACAGGUGCUAAUACCGCAUAAUUGCUUUUACCGCAUGGUAGAAGUAUGAAAGACGCUUUCGGGUGUCACUGAUGGAUGGACCUGCGGUGCAUUAGCUAGUUGGUGAGAUAAAAGCCCACCAAGGCAAUGAUGCAUAGCCGACCUGAGAGGGUGAUCGGCCACACUGGGACUGAGACACGGACCAG